CUGAGGCGUUUGAUGAGGCCCGGCGGGCUCCGGGUCGUUGACUUUGCCACGAGUGGCUCCCUGGGGACGGAGGAAGAGGGGCGCGCUCUGCCCCUCCCCCGCCCGUCCACAUCCCCGCCCCCUCCUUGUCUUGACCCUCCGCCACGGAGCGAGCCGACGGAGCGGGGUGCCUGCCCGGCGCCCGCGCGGGCAGAUCGCUACGCCUCAAUCCAGGCUGCGAGGGGGAAGUGGGAGGGGGCAGGCAGCCGAGGUCGCGGUGGGUCAGCUGGCGAGUGUAGAAACCUCGACUUCUCCAAGGGGUCACGACAGCUCCGCACCGCCGCCGGAGAGCAGGGCACGGCGGCGGCCGCUCACGUUUCGAGCGGUCGCGGUGGUUCUGACAGCCUGAAAGGGAAGGCGGCUGAUGAGGAACGUGCCUGAACGAUGGGGCACGUUGGUUGUGAGGGAGAAAGCGCAGGAGGCGGAGGCGGCUCAUAUUAUCCACCCAGAGACACGCUACAAAGACUCCCACGGGCCUCCCACGGGGCUGGUGGUUACAGGCUGGGAAUGGGGACGGGGUGGGGGGGGGGCGGCCGGUCCCCGUCACCCAGGCACAUGGUGAUGAGCGAGCGGAUUUAUAGCUCUGCCGCCUGCCAUGUCCUUUCAGUCAGAACAGAGAUGACGACUCCCGCCUCUUCGCUUUUAGUCACUUCCUCGCCUUGUUCCAAGAAGUAGCUCAGCAGCCUUAACGGCAACGGUUACUUCUGAGUAGCCUCGCCGUAGUGCCAAGCAGGGUGCCUAAAGACACUGCGAAAGGCUGUCCCGCCUCCUUCACGGACCCGCUUGCUUAGGCUUUUAGAGCCGUUUGUGCCCAGCAGCCGCAUCAGGACCUGCCACAGCCCAGCCCGAAACUCUUGCUAUAAGUGUCAUUCCCAAAAGCCGUCCGUGGAUGCAAAUACUACGUGGGAACUGCCUCUUUGGUUUCCCACAAGCAUUGCGUUCCAAUGAAAGCAGAGGGUUAGGACAAGUAUGGGGAAAGAGGGAAAUUGCGUGUGGAACUCUUUGAUAUUAUAAAAUCUCUCCUAUCUGGGCCAUGCUGGAUUCCACAGUUACUGCAGAGUCUAUUGUGGAGAUGUCGAGCAACUCCUCUUAUGAGAUAAGAUUGGAUCAUUUCAGUUUGUGACUCCUGAUGAAGUGGACAAACUGCUUUGGACUGUGCAUCCUACAAUCUGUUCCCUUGACCCUUGCCCAACUUGGCUUAUCUCAUCUGAUUCAUCUGUUCGUUCCCAAAGUUUCAAUGAGGAAAGCAGCUCCACUUUUCCUAUCCCUGAUGUUGCUGUUUUAAGCUUAUUCUUUUAAUCAUAAAGCAAUCCACAUGAAAUCUGCAGGCAUUCUGUGAUUCCUCCAAGUAACAACAGCUGCCAAAUUUCAGGUAGAUGGUACCAAGGGGAUCCAUUUCAGAAGAUAUUUUUAAAAGGUGGUCUCACUUGAGGAAUCAGCUCAAUUUCUUCUGCUCCUGAUGAUGCUGAUGUGCAGCUAUUCCACAUGAAAUUUUCAGGCAUUGUAGGAAUCCUUGAAGGGAUAAUUCCUGCCAAAUUUUAGACAUCUAGACCCAAAGGCCCUAUUUUAGAGGACAUUAAAAUGGCACAUAGACAUAGCCUAACUGCUAUCUAAACUAAUGAUAAAUGGAAAUAAAAAUUGCAGUUGAAUUUUUGCAAGCUUCAUUCCUGCAAAUAAACAAUUUCACAAUAAGGAGUACAUCCAAGCCUCAAUCUCCUGGAGAAAAUGGUAUGAAGAACAGUGACAGAUCCAUUUUUUGUACAUGCAAUUUGAAAUUAACUGCUCCAGCUAACAUAAAGGCAAGUCCCUAUAAAUACAUGUCCCCAAUAGCCUACAAAAGAAAAUAUAUAUAAAGUGCAUUGGUAGAGAAGCACUGGAAAGUACUUAAAAUAUAUAGCUUCAGCAAAAGACAAUAAAAACCCUGCCAAACUAAAUCAACAUAAGAGAAUCCAAUUUCAUAAACUCAGAAUGAAAUCAGGAAGGAAGAUAGAGUGGGAUCAAAUCAAUUUAAAACUGAUUUUUUAAAAGAAUAAAAUGCUUUGGCUAUAAGAAAACCAAAACCCCAAACAUACUCAGAGAAAUACACUGCUGAAAUUAAAACCUUAAAUGGAUUUUUUAAAACAAAGCAAAGCAUCAGACAAACCUGCAACACAGCUCUUCCAUUCCUCAUGAUGCCCCUUGGCAGAAGAAUGGCUAGAUUACAUAUUGUCCCUCUGUUUUAUGUUUCUGCACAUCCCUCCCCUUGCCACCACUGGAUGCUUUUCCACAGAACAUUGUUUCCAAGCAACAAUGUGUUAAGUGUAUGACUAGAGAACAUCGAUUGUCAGUUUUCUUUCACUUUCUCUCUUUCUGUCUUCCUUCCUCUGUCCUGACCAGAAUCUAAUCUAAGGAAAUGAUGCAGAUCCGAGUUCUGAAACAGAACACUAUUAAUUUUUAACUUUCUAAUUUGUACCUUUAAAAUUUGGUUUUAAUCUGGUUCUUGUUUUAGUUAAUUUGUAUUAAUGUAUUGAUUUCAUAUUUUUAUAUUUUAUCUCUUUUAAUUUUGUGUGGCACUCCAAACAGUAGUGCACUAGAGGGCCAGGGUAUACAUAUUUUAAAUAAAUAGAUUCAAUUGAGGCUGGUUCAUGGCAAUUGAGUUUGGCUCAGAUUAAUGCCAGAUAGAAUAAAAUUUGUUCUCUUUGUCAUGCCUUAGCAUUAAUACAAAAAGGAAUAUACACCCUUACCUGUAAACCUCCAUGGACAUACUUUUAUAUUGAAGAGCACAAUAUAAACUGAUUGCCUUGGCCAGUUAUGUGCUAUUCCUUCUGAUCCAGCAGCAGCCCUGCUUUCUAACCACAGAAGCAUGGUGACUUGUUCUUAUUACUCAGCAACAAGUGCAAUGUGAUACUGGAGAUUCCUCCAAAACUUGGAGGUCUGUUAAGGGCUGCUAACUAGGCAAAGAGGCACCUUCUUAAUGAGGUGAUUCUCUUUAUUUAGCAGGGGGAGAGUAACUGGCCCUAUCCACUCCCAGCACAGUACCUAUUGUUGGUGUCUGUCUUAUGUUUCUUUUUAGAUUGCGAGCCCUUUGAGGACAGGAAGCGAUCUUAUUUAUUUAUUUAUUAUUUGUCUAUGUAACCCACUUUGGACACUUUUAUUAAAAAGCAGUAUAUAAAUAUUUGUUGUUGAAAGGCAGCUAUACUUCGAGCCCUUUCUCAUGAUUAGUGAGAAAGGUCUCGAGGGAGAGUGGGGAGGAAGGCUGCUUGCACUUACCUAACCCCACAGACAAUUCCUCUUCCCUGCCUGGAUGGGUGGAUCACCCAUCCACAUGAUUGCUAGCCGCA